rnacentral:tRNA from 1 species
GGGGAAGUAGCUCAGUUGGGAGAGCGCGUCGUUCGCAAUGACGAGGUCGGGAGUUCGAUUCUCCUCUUCUCCA